UAACCAUGGCAACAAAGAAGUACUGCUUCCAAGCAAAACCCUGAACUAAAUAGAACCAAGUUACUGUUGCACUCAAACAGUCAUGGGUCUGUUUUUGUUGUAGUGGUGAACGGUUCCAGCUUUAAGGGCCGGGUCCAGUUCAUUUAGGUUGGAACCAAACAUACUGGAUCACCUCUGAGGUUUACUUCCAGCCCAUCCUCCGUCGUCGGCCCGGGCUUUUUACAGGGCAUAGACCCCAUUGUGGCUCCUGGAGAGGCUCCCGCAUCACUUCUGUGAUUUCCUGGGCAAGUACGAGGCGACGCGGCACUUCAGGCCAUUGGUCGUGAUUGUUCGCUGCCACUCGCCGAGAAUGAGGGGAACCACAUGCUCACUGGGUACCACCACAGGGUCUGAGCAGACCUUUUCUGCGGCGCGUUGACACGACUCAGGAUGCUUUGAUUCUCAAACCGAGGAGGACGGUCAAGUGUCACGCAGGCCUGCGCCGCACCGACUCCGUGGGAGCUGAAGUAGAGUCAAAACACGCGGGAGCAGGCGAGGUCUCCCCUCAGUGAAAAAAGAAGGACGGCAUCAGCAGAGAAGAGGCUGACAGGAGUGUGAUGAGGGCCCACGGUGAGCAGAUCCGACAAGGCUACACCAAACGUCUCCUCGCUGACUUAUUAGCAUCUUGAAAAGAAAAGGGGUGGAUGGUCGGGACGCCAGAUUCAGUGUAAAACUCUAACUCUGGUUUCUUCUGGAGAACGGAGAGGAAGAACAUCGGACUCCGACUGCGCCGCAUCCGUUCAUCCACCGCCGUUAAUUAAGAUUCAUAGGAACGGACGAGGAAGCAAGGUCGAGAAGAAGCGUCUGCACAUGCGACCCCCCCUCCGCCCCUCUCCAUUUAGGAGCAGCACAUCUCCCAGCUCUCCCAUCCUCGCCAGCAGGAUGUUUGGAGGACAGACACGUCAGCGUGGGGUCAAAGGCCUCCGUGACCCAGACUCAUCGACAGCAACGUAGCAUCACUGGGACAAGAUUCCCUUCAGAAGAUGUGAAAGCAACGCUCAUCCUCACGAGCAGUCAAAGGAGGGAGCGCUCUGCUGUCAGUCAGCAGGCUUCUAAUGCUCCACACAUGCAGACACACAACACUACUGCUGUCUAUAGCAGCAAGGGCGCGAUUCCACCAGUAACUCGGGCAGCACUGGUGAAAAGAACAUCAAGAAGAGGAAAGUCUGGAGGUGAAUAGGAGCAAAGGAGGAAUUUUUUAACUAAAAGAGAUUUGUAAUAUCAUACAAAUUAUUACUACUAUAAAAUACUAUAUUAUUAUUAUUAUUAUUAUUAUUAUUAUUAUUAUUAUUAUUAUUAUUAUUAUUAUUAUUAUUAUUAUUAUUAUUAUUAUUAUUAUUAUUAUUAUUAUUAUUAUUAUUAUUAUUUACAUUGUGUUUUGUUUUCCUUUUAAAGUUGAGUUAAAUUUUAUAAUCAUUGAUCCAAUUGGAAAUAAUGGUGUUUCUUUAACACGUCAAAACCAUAAAAAGAAGA